UACGAAGGGGACUAGCGUUGUUCGGAAUCACUGGGCGUAAAGCGCACGUAGGCGGAUUUGUAAGUCAGGGGUGAAAUCCCGGGGCUCAACCUCCGGAACUGCCUUUGAUACUGCGAGUCUUGAGUCCGAUAGAGGUGGGUGGAAUUCCUAGUGUAGAGGUGAAAUUCGUAGAUAUUAGGAAGAACACCAGUGGCGAAGGCGGCCCCAACUGGAUCGGUACUGACGCUGAGGUGCGAAAGCGGUGGGGAGCAAACG
rnacentral:rRNA from 1 species